rnacentral:rRNA from 1 species
AGUGGCGAACGGGUGAGUAACACGUGGGCAAUCUGCCCUUCACUCUGGGACAAGCCCUGGAAACGGGGUCUAAUACCGGAUAUCACUCCUGCAGGCAUCUGCAGGGGUCGAAAGCUCCGGCGGUGAAGGAUGAGCCCGCGGCCUAUCAGCUUGUUGGUGAGGUAAUGGCUCACCAAGGCGACGACGGGUAGCCGGCCUGAGAGGGCGACCGGCCACACUGGGACUGAGACACGGCCCAGACUCCUACGGGAGGCAGCAGUGGGGAAUAUUGCACAAUGGGCGAAAGCCUGAUGCAGCGACGCCGCGUGAGGGAUGACGGCCUUCGGGUUGUAAACCUCUUUCAGCAGGGAAGAAGCGAAAGUGACGGUACCUGCAGAAGAAGCGCCGGCUAACUACGUGCCAGCAGCCGCGGUAAUACGUAGGGCGCAAGCGUUGUCCGGAAUUAUUGGGCGUAAAGAGCUCGUAGGCGGCUUGUCACGUCGGGUGUG